rnacentral:tRNA from 3 species
GCGAGAGUGGCGGAAUUGGCAGACGCGCCAGAUUUAGGUUCUGGUGGCAACACCGUGUGGGUUCAAGUCCCACCUCUCGCACCA